rnacentral:rRNA from 1 species
UACGGAGGAUCCGAGCGUUAUCCGGAUUUAUUGGGUUUAAAGGGCGCGUAGGCGGUUUGAUAAGUUAGAGGUGAAAUGUCGGGGCUCAACCCCGAAACUGCCUCUAAUACUGUUGGACUAGAGAAUAGUUGCGGUAGGCGGAAUGUAUGGUGUAGCGGUGAAAUGCUUAGAGAUCAUACAGAACACCGAUUGCGAAGGCAGCUUACCAAACUAUAUCUGACGUUGAGGCACGAAAGCGUGGGUAGCAAACAGG